ensembl:lncRNA
CCUGUUCUCAUCAGUUCAAAUUCAGCCCUGUGCUCAACAAGGUGAAGUGGAAGGUGUACACAUGUCAGAUGGCUCCCAGAAGUCUCCCACACUGCUAUAUGAAUUCUUACACUCAGAAGCAACAUCUGAGGAAAUGAGCUUGGGAAACCUGAGUGAAGUGAUUGCACUAAGCAGCAGGAAAGGGGAAUGCUGAGGUCUCAGAGAUGAAACAUCCCAGCAGCCCAUCUCUUCUCAGGCAGACUGCACAUGUAAAGUUACUUAGUCACGUGGUCAGCAGUGCUGUCCCACCCAGGUGUUGAGAAACUUUGGAUUUACCUACCCUCCACAAUCACAGUAUACUGAAGCCAGUGCCCACCAGUCCUUGGGUUCUCUCUUUUCCUGUUUUAAAGAGGAAUGUGGCACAUGGUAUUUUGUCUUCUUCCUGGCUUCAAAGUUUCUCCCACCUGUCAUGGAUGGAGCCUCAGAAACAACCACAAGCACCUGUAUUAGAGCCUCAGCCAUCUCCUUUGGUGGCUCCAGAAUGCCUUUCCCUAGGCAUUCUAACCUGCCAGGUCUAACCUGCC